rnacentral:lncRNA from 1 species
GUUUUAUAGGUCUUAAAAUUAGGAAAUUCAGAAGAUCUCUCAAGUGGGGACUGGGAAGGAGACAGACAAUAAGUGAUUAUAACCCAAAACGAGCAACACUGAAAGAAUCAGAAAGCCUCCAAAUUGCAGAAUGACUGCAAGGCCUUCAGAUAAAAGUCCUUCAUCCCAAAAGAUAGUUUUUUGGGCUAAGAAUUCAACAGAGGCCAACAGAUUGAAUUUUAAAAUUACAAAUGAUUAUUUAAUGAGAAAUGUAGAGCUCUCGACGAUCCUUAAGAUAGCAGCAUAGAAUUCCCAACCAUUGGUAUAGGAUGCGUGCUUGAAAAAAUAAAUCCAAGGAUCAACCAAUAGUAUUCAUAAUUCAAGCAGCUUAUCCAUUUAUAUAGUGAUUCGCGGAUCUAAUCAGACAUUGACUAAGAUAAGAGAGUCAUUCAAAAUUCCGCUUCUUGAACAUAUAAGAACUAUGUAAAUAUCAAAUUCAAUCAAAGACGUGAUUAAUACAGAAGAUCCAUAAAACAUUCAUUUCAACAACGCAUUUGGCAAAAAACAGAAGUAUAUACUAUUUUAUCAAUCAUUUCACUUCCAUUCAGACUAAAAAAAUAGAACAAAUAAUCAGUCAUCUAAACCUAAUCCUGACAGCAAUUUCAAAAUUUAAAAAAACAAAAAAAAACAAAAAAAAAAACCGAUCAAAGGUCAGUCACGUAAAAUAAAUCAAAGAAUUAAAACGUAAAUUCCAACACACAGAAGCAGAUCCGUGCACAAAUCCAACAAAAACUACACAAAUCACUUAAUUAAGACACAAAAUACAUACAGAUUAAGUGCAAUGAGAUCUGAUCCUGACUCUAGAGAUACAAUUUUUUAAACAUAUAUAUAGAUCAUACGAAUGCAAAAUACAUGAAAUUGAACAAAGAAACAGAUGUCUUACGUGAUCCGAAAAUAAUAAAGGAGAUUGAUUUGGGAAGAAGAGAGGAGGCAGAUCUUGUUCAAGGCUGCCCUUAUGAGAAUCUUGUUCAUGAAUUGCUUAGAAUGGGAUUUUAUACAUAUAUUUUAAAAUUUUGAAUAAUUAUUUUUCUUUUUUUUUAAUUUAAACCAUUUUGGGUAAAUUGUUCUAAUAGUCCUUGUUCUUUUUUUCAAUUGACAUUUUAGUGUAGAAAAUUU